AUUACCGAGUUUACAACUCCCAAACCCCUGUGAACAUACCUUAAUGUUGCCUCGGCGGAUCAGCCCGCGCCCCGUAAAACGGGACGGCCCGCCAGAGGACCCAAACUCUAAUGUUUCUUAUUGUAACUUCUGAGUAAAACAAACAAAUAAAUCAAAACUUUCAACAACGGAUCUCUUGGUUCUGGCAUCGAUGAAGAACGCAGCAAAAUGCGAUAAGUAAUGUGAAUUGCAGAAUUCAGUGAAUCAUCGAAUCUUUGAACGCACAUUGCGCCCGCUGGUAUUCCGGCGGGCAUGCCUGUUCGAGCGUCAUUUCAACCCUCAAGCCCCCGGGUUUGGUGUUGGGGAUCGGCUCUGCCCUUCUGGGCGGUGCCGCCCCCGAAAUACAUUGGCGGUCUCGCUGCAGCCUCCAUUGCGUAGUAGCUAACACCUCGCAACUGGAACGCGGCGCGGCCAUGCCGUAAAACCCCAACUUCUGAAUGUUGACCUCGGAUCAGGUAGGAAUACCCGCUGAACUUAAGCAUAUCA
rnacentral:rRNA from 1 species